UACGGGGGGGGCAAGCGUUGUUCGGAAUUACUGGGCGUAAAGGGCUCGUAGGCGGCCAACUAAGUCGGAUGUGAAAUCCCCAGGCUCAACCUGGGAACUGCAUCCGAUACUGUGCGGCUAGAGUGCGGAAGGGGCAACUGGAAUUCUUGGUGUAGCGGUGAAAUGCGUAGAUAUCAAGAGGAACACCUGCGGCGAAGGCGGGUUGCUGGGCCGACACGUGACGCUGAUGCGCGAAAGCCAGGGGAGCGAACGGG
rnacentral:rRNA from 1 species